rfam:Schistosoma mansoni strain Puerto Rico chromosome 4, complete genome
AUUCAGCUGACGAGUCCCAAAUAGGACGAAACGCGUGUCCUGGAU